rnacentral:rRNA from 1 species
GACGAACGCUGGCGGCGUGCUUAACACAUGCAAGUCGAACGGACAGACAGAGAGCUUGCUCUCUUGAAGUUAGUGGCGAACGGGUGAGUAACGCGUAAUCAACCUGCCCUUCAGAGGGGGAUAACAACGGGAAACCGUUGCUAAUACCGCGUACGAUUCAUGAACGGCAUCGUUUAUGAAUGAAAGGUGGCCUCUAUGUAUAAGCUAUCGCUGAAGGAGGGGAUUGCGUCUGAUUAGCUAGUUGGAGGGGGAACGGCCCGCCAAGGUAAUUAUCAGUAGCCGGUCUGAGAGGAUGAACGGCCACAUUGGGACUGAGACACGGCCCAAACUCCUACGGGAGGCAGCAGUGGGGAAUAUUCCGCAAUGGACGAAAGUCUGACGGAGCAACGCCGCGUGAGUGAUGAAGGUCUUCGGAUUGUAAAGCUCUGUUAAUCGGGACGAAAGAGUUCUGCGUGAAUAAUGCAGAAAAGUGACGGUACCUAACCAGAAAGCCACGGCUAACUACGUGCCAGCCGCCGCAGUAA